UAAUUUGAUUAAUUGUAGGAUUUUUUCUUCCAGCCCUAUAAUAGAAACGUUGGUCCAGAUUCUGCAUUACUUCGUCAUUACUCUUGAUUCUGCAGAACAAUGGCUGUUGGUUGUCUCCAAAGGAGUUUGUUGGCUUGACGCCUAUCCGGCUUUCUCAAUUCUGUGAUGCCGAAAUGGAUAAAUGCAGUUGCUGCGACAAGGAAUCCGGCAAAUUACAAAAAAUUAAAUUUUCCCAAGAUAAAUAAUCUGGCUGCUCUACGACGUCCCGUCGCAAGGAAGAAUCUGGCGAUAUCUGUUCUGCUGCAGAUCUUACAGCAGUGGGCCGACAUCAACGCCAUUCUCUUCUUUUCUACUUCCAUAUUCGAAGAUGUGCGAUGUCACACAUCUCACACAUUUCAGAUGAGUGAAAGCGGUCCAGAUUCGGUGGUCGGGUCGUUUCCGAUGUCGUAUCCAAGCAUUCGAGACAGACCGAGUACUAUAUCAGUCAAACAGAAUCGUACCCUAGCAGGACAGAACCCUUGGAAGUUCCGAACAUAACAAGUCAUUGAUUGCCAGUUUAGACCCCAUUUCUACCACUUUUUCUAAUACCUUUUGUAAUAUUUUUGAGAAUUUUGUAGUAUUUUCUAGUAUUUAUUAUUGAAUCACCUCGUUGUGCUAAUCCAAUAAAGUAAAAAUCCAGUAAAUGUCAUUUAAAGCCACGUCCUAGGCCAUAUCGAAUAUAAGCAUAUAUCGUAUAACCAUAUCGUGAUAAGCAUGAAAUUCCUGAUCAAAAUCA